UACAGAGGGUGCAAGCGUUGUUCGGAAUUAUUGGGCGUAAAGCGCGUGUAGGCGGCUUUGCAAGUCGGGUGUGAAAGCCCUCAGCUCAACUGAGGAAGUGCGCCCGAAACUGCAGAGCUUGAGUGCCGGAGAGGGUGGCGGAAUUCCCCAAGUAGAGGUGAAAUUCGUAGAUAUGGGGAGGAACACCGGUGGCGAAGGCGGCCGACCUG
rnacentral:rRNA from 1 species